AACGCACAUUGCGCCCUGUGGUAUUCCACAGGGCAUGCCUGUUUGAGCGUCAUUUCUCCUUCAAACUUCUAGUUUGGAUUUGGGCUUGGGGAAGCUUUAUACCCAGCCUGAAAUAGUGGGUGAAACAUAUGUCUAUUAGGUUUUACACAAUGAGUUAGGUUCUGCCAGUUCGUUGAAUGAAAUCUAUGUGAAGAUGCUUCAAUAACAACCCAUUUUAUACCCCCCCAAAUUUGACCUCAAAUCAGGUAGGACUACCCGCUGAACUUAA
rnacentral:misc_RNA from 1 species